AUAUAUAUAUAUUGGAGGAGAGGCUUACUCUCAAAACGCAUCUCGAUCUCAUCAUCGACUGCUCGUUCUGAGUAGGUAUGGAACUGAAACCGACAGUUGCUUUGAGAGCUCUCCUAGCAAUGGGAAUAGCUGUUUUCACCAAGGUGGGUGCAGCAACGAAGGCUGCUGGCGGCAUAAAAGUAGGAGCAGCUGUGGCGGCCGUUUCGGCUGCUGCAACAGCGGCAACCACGGGAACCAAGCACCAAACCGAAGCUUCCAAGCCAACCUAAAAGCUAUGCUGUUCAGAAUGCUGGAUCGCCGGAAGAAGCAUGCAAAAGCCAAUAAUUUGAACCGGCCGUGUGUUCCGAGAAAAGUAACUUGACUGAGCGUAAUAUAAUUUUUGGCUUCUUCUUAGUAGAGAAGACCUAAUGGCAAAUUGUUUUCAUUUGGUAAGUUUUUUGUUUCUGGAUACUGGUUGAAGUGUUUUUGGGCGUUUUCACAGGAAUAAGUUAUAUAUUGUGAAUAGGCGUGGGAGAUUUUGCACAGCCAAAGUUUGUUGAGUUCCUUCCAUACAUUUCUGCGUUUUGGUUUCACCCUAUUAUUGUUUCUUUUGACUGAAUUUUUUUCGUGCAGAGAUCAUAUUGUUUGUUAUAUAUCUAUAGAGGAGUUUGCAUAGGAUCCGGUGGUGGAUCCAUCCAUAAUUCCUUUCCUUUCCUAAUCGGACAAACUUUGACUUCAGGAGGGCUUGACAGUUGGAUAUUUUAUUA